GAAACUCGACAACAAAAGUUGGAGAGCGUGAAUCCACAGAUACCAAUCCGACACAACAAGGUAUGCAUACUAUAGACAGUCUAAUGUACUGCUAUCAGAUACUGGGUGGCAUUGUAGUUUCUGUUUCCGCCGUAUCAGUGAUUUUGUGUUUAAGAUGAAAGCGUACAGCCACUACGAUCGGGUGAUACCCCUCUGCUUCCAAUGCAUUCGGAGAAAACUACAAUUGUGAUGAAAAAUUGGCAAUGAAUUUUAAAAAUCUACAAAGACGAAUGGCCCAUUCUGUUUCAAUUUCAUGCAGUUCUGGGGUCAACAUGUUGAAGAAUGAACUACAGAAGUAUAUAGCUGAGAACAUCACAAGCUAAUUGCUCUUAGCUGUAGCUGGUAAUUUGGACCAUAGGUUAGAUUUUGAUAUAUAUAAUGUAAUUAACUUACAAUUAUAUUGAUAAUCCUUUUGUAGGUACUGAAGUGAACGGUAACGAUUUGAACUUGAUACAUGUUUUCAACUGAACUGGAUAUCUUGAAUCAAUCAUGUGGUGCAUUGAAUUAGUGACAUGUUUUGGAAAUGGCAUGCUGAAUUCAGUAACUAUAGAAUAUGAAAUGCAGAAUUAUUGUAUUGCUUCUAGGGGUGCUGCCUUGAGAUCUUGGAAAUGGAAUAAUCAUUGGAUUCGACCGUAUUCGAAAGUGGCCCUUCAAAGUGGUAAUAUCUCUUUUGUGCCUUUGGAAUCGAACAUACUACGAGUUAAAGACAUUAUUGAUUAAUAUUUCUUGCUGAUUCCGAAUACAACUCAUGGGAUCUAAUCUGGGACUGUCACAACCAAAUCUGAGAGAUUAAUCUAUGU